GGGUGGGACAGCCGAGGGCUUUCCUGCUCCGCGCCUGAGUCACAGCGCUGCGCCCAGAGGCGAUGCCACACCGGGCGUAUAGGACCCGGGCUCAGCUGUGCGUCCUAACAUCUGUCCGUCAGUCCGUCCCUCUCGGACUCUGAAACUCCGGUCUCUAAGCUCUGUCCCUUUGCAGGCAGGAAGCCAGGACGAAUGGCCGCCGCAAAGCCCACCCGGUGGGCAGCGGUCGCCCGGAGCCGCCCCUUCCCUCCAGGAGCUCCCCCGCUCGCCGCUCGGGGUGCUUAAGUGCUGCCUGCCGGGUCCAGACUGGCUUCAGUGUCUCAGCAGCCCUCCUGCCUCUGCCUCCCCAGUGCUGGGAUGGAAGGCGCGCACCACCAAGACUGAUGACAGCAUACUUCCGUUUAAAGUGUUGAUAAAGCAAUCUACAUCUGGCUAAAAGUUUGGCAGAAAAUUGAAAUUAUUAAAAUCUAGGAUAAUCUGCA